rnacentral:rRNA from 1 species
AUUGAACGCUGGCGGCAGGCCUAACACAUGCAAGUAGAACGGAGUGGCGGACGGGUGAGUAAUGUCUGGGAAACUGCCUGAUGGAGGGGGAUAACGUCCGGAAACGGGCGCUAAUACCGCAUAAUAUCAGAUGAGCCUAUGUCGGAUUAGCUAGUUGGUGGGGUAAAGGCCUACCAAGGCGACGAUCCGUAACUGGUCUGAGAGGAUGAUCAGUAACACUGGAACUGAGACACGGCCCAGAUUCCUACGGGAGGCAGCAGUGGGGAAGAUUGGACAAGGGGCGAAAGCCUGAUCCAGCCAGGCCGCGUGUGUGAAGAAGGUCUUCGGAUUGUAAAGCACUUUAAGUUGGGAGGCGUUACCAACAGAAUAAGCACCGGCUAACUUCGUGCCAGCCGCCGCGGUAAUAC